CUUGCUGACUGUGGGCGGAGCGGGCCGAAGGAGGAGGUGGCGGAGCAGGGGGCGGUUUGGUUGCGCGGUACUAGCGGUGCCCGCCGAAGGGGGAGGAGGCGGAGGAGCGAGCUGUGUGGCCAGAGCGGGAAAGAGACUCGUCGCUGCGUCCGAGUUCUGGAGCCGCCGCACCCGGCUUCUGGGGCUGCAGCGGGAGCUCUGAGGGGCCGGGCGUCCUCUGUCUCCCGGGUCCCCGCGUAGGACCCCGCGGGAUCGGAAAAGGCAGAAGAUGGAGGAGGGCGGCAGCGGCGGCAGCGCCGCGGGGACCAGCGGGGACGGCGGCGCCGGGGGAGAGCAGCUCCUCACUGUCAAGCACGAGCUGCGGACGGCUAAUUUAACAGGACAUGCAGAGAAGGUGGGGAUUGAAAAUUUUGAACUCCUCAAGGUCCUAGGAACUGGAGCUUAUGGAAAAGUAUUUCUGGUUCGUAAAAUCAGUGGUCACGACGCUGGCAAGCUGUAUGCUAUGAAAGUCUUGAAAAAGGCCACAAUAGUGCAAAAGGCCAAAACCACAGAGCACACAAGGACUGAGCGGCAAGUCCUGGAGCACAUCAGGCAGUCGCCAUUCUUGGUGACCUUGCACUACGCUUUCCAGACAGAAACCAAACUUCAUCUCAUUUUAGAUUAUAUAAAUGGUGGAGAACUUUUUACUCAUCUUUCUCAAAGAGAGCGUUUCACAGAGCAUGAGGUGCGGAUCUAUGUUGGAGAGAUCGUGCUUGCCCUCGAACAUCUCCACAAGUUGGGAAUUAUAUACCGUGACAUUAAGCUUGAGAACAUUCUACUUGAUUCUAAUGGCCACGUGGUGCUGACAGAUUUUGGUCUGAGUAAGGAGUUUGUGGCUGAAGAAGCUGAAAGAGCAUAUUCCUUUUGUGGGACUAUUGAAUACAUGGCACCGGAUAUUGUCAGAGGGGGAGAUUCAGGACACGACAAGGCAGUUGACUGGUGGAGUUUAGGUGUUCUAAUGUAUGAAUUACUUACUGGAGCAUCUCCUUUCACUGUGGAUGGGGAGAAGAAUUCCCAAGCUGAGAUAUCUAGGAGAAUAUUAAAAAGUGAGCCUCCAUAUCCUCAAGAAAUGAGUGCUUUAGCUAAAGACCUAAUUCAGCGUCUUUUGAUGAAAGAUCCCAAGAAAAGAUUGGGAUGUGGUCCACGUGAUGCGGAUGAGAUCAAAGAACAUCUCUUUUUCCAGAAAAUCAAUUGGGAUGAUUUAGCUGCCAAAAAAGUGCCCACGCCAUUUAAGCCAGUCAUCCGAGACGAACUAGAUGUGAGUAACUUCGCAGAAGAGUUCACGGAGAUGGACCCCACCUACUCCCCGGCGGCACUGCCCCAGAGCUCCGAGAGGCUGUUCCAGGGCUAUUCCUUUGUCGCUCCUUCUAUUCUGUUCAAGCGUAAUGCAGCUGUCAUAGAUCCUCUUCAGUUUCACAUGGGAGUUGAACGUCCCGGAGUGACAAAUGUUGCCAGGAGUGCAAUGAUGAAGGACUCCCCGUUCUAUCAACACUAUGACCUGGAUCUGAAGGACAAGCCCCUGGGAGAGGGAAGUUUUUCAAUUUGUCGAAAGUGCAUACACAAAAAAAGUAACCAAGCCUUCGCAGUCAAAAUAAUCAGCAAGAGGAUGGAAGCCAAUACUCAGAAAGAAAUAACAGCUCUGAAGCUCUGUGAAGGGCACCCCAACAUCGUGAAAUUGCACGAAGUUUUUCACGAUCAGCUGCACACGUUUCUGGUGAUGGAACUUCUGAACGGGGGAGAGCUGUUUGAACGCAUUAAGAAAAAGAAGCACUUCAGUGAGACUGAAGCCAGUUACAUCAUGCGGAAGCUCGUUUCGGCCGUGAGCCACAUGCAUGAUGUGGGCGUGGUGCACAGGGACCUGAAGCCCGAGAAUUUAUUGUUCACUGAUGAAAAUGACAAUUUGGAAAUUAAAGUAAUCGAUUUUGGGUUUGCACGCUUAAAGCCGCCUGAUAACCAGCCUCUCAAGACGCCCUGCUUCACCCUGCACUACGCCGCCCCCGAGCUCUUGAAUCACAACGGCUACGACGAGUCCUGCGACCUCUGGAGCCUGGGCGUCAUUUUGUAUACAAUGUUGUCAGGGCAAGUUCCAUUCCAGUCUCAUGACAAAAGUUUGACAUGUACCAGUGCGGUGGAAAUCAUGAAGAAAAUUAAAAAGGGAGAUUUCUCCUUUGAAGGAGAAGCCUGGAAGAAUGUAUCCCAAGAAGCUAAAGCCUUGAUCCAAGGACUCCUCACAGUCGACCCAAAUAAAAGACUUAAAAUGUCAGGCUUGAGAUACAACGAAUGGCUUCAAGAUGGCAGUCAGCUGUCCUCCAAUCCUCUGAUGACUCCGGACAUUCUAGGAUCUUCGGGAGCUGCCGUGCAAACCUGUGUGAAAGCAACCUUCCACGCCUUUAACAAAUACAAGAGAGAGGGGUUUUGCCUUCAGAAUGUCGACAAGGCCCCUUUGGCAAAGAGAAGGAAAAUGAAGAAGACCAGCACCAGCACAGAGACACGCAGCAGCUCUAGCGAAAGUUCUCACUCGUCCUCCUCUCACUCCCACGGGAAGACCACGCCCACUAAGACCCUGCAGCCCAGCAACCCCGCGGACCCCAGCAACCCAGACACGCUCUUCCAGUUCUCGGACUGAGUGGCGCGGGGAUGGUAGGAGUGUCACCGAUGACGACCCAUCGCACCUUGAAUGCCCUCAGCAUGUGCCUGAGAUUCACUUACCGUGAAAAAACGCUUUUUAAUGUUUCUCUGUUGCUACCGAUUGCUGAAAUAACUGUGUAAAGACAACAUGGAAAAUACAAGGAUGUUUUUGCUGAGUAUGAAAUUCUGGGUUCAGCACUCCCAAGAUGUCAUCCCAUUCUGUAAGUUCUGUGGAAAAGUCAGCCAUCAGUCUUACUGUUACACCUUUGAAGGUAAUAUGUCUUUUUUCCUCUGGUUACUUUGAAGAUUCUAUCUUUGCCUUUGAUUUUUAGCAGUUUGACUGUAAUAUACCUAUGUGUGGUUUCUUUAUUUUCCCUAAGGAUAGCAAACUUGUUUAAAUCUUUUGAUUGAUGUUCUUCCUUAAUUUUGGCAAUUCUUAACCAGUCAUUCUUCAAAUAAUUUUUCCAACCUAUUGUCUCUUUCCUCUUUUCUAGAAUUCUUCCAAACCUUUCAUCAUGUUCCGUAUGUAUCUUACAGUCUUUCUGUGUUUUCCUCUUUCUUUCUCCCUGUUCUUCAAUCUAUGUAAUUUUUACUGGUCUGUCUUCCAGUUCAUUUGUCCUCUGGUCUGCUAGAUCUAAUGAAUUUUAAUCUUAAUUUCACAUAUUGUAUUUUCAGAUUUAAAAUAUUCAUUGACUCUUUUUUAUAGAUUCCAGGUCUCUGCUGAAAUUCUCAAUCUUUUCCUCUCAAUUCUUGAACAUAUUAAUCAAAGGAAUUUUGAAGUUCUUGUCUGAUAGAUCCAAUGUCUGAAUUACUCCAUAUUGGCUGGUUGUAUUAUUCAUACAUAUUUUCUUCUGGUAGUCAGUCAUUUUGUCCUGUUUUCUAAGAUCUCUCAUAAGUUUGGCUGAAUACUAUACAUUGUGUAUUAAAGAUCUUAGAGGCACUGCAUGGAGUUAUGUCCUUUCAAGAUGGUUAUGCUUUCUUCUGGCAGGUAGGUAGAGUGUAGCGAGAUUACCACAAUCCUCUUGAGGAUUGACUUUAGACUUUGUAAGGGCGGGUUUCAGUUUUUGCCCUGACCCCUGCACCAAAAGUUCCGCACCAAGAGCUACUCAAAGCUCUGCUCUCUUCAGCCUCACAGCUGCUGCUCUUUGCUGGGUUUCUGGAGGCCUCACCUGGUGCCCAUGAUUCAAGGAUGGCAAACACCGCAAGGAAAUAAAGUAACAGCAUUUCUGGCUCACUUCCCUGAGGUUUCCUCCUCUCUGGGAUUUUGCCCUUCAAGUCCUAGCUGCUUUAGCAGCCCAGACUCCAACCUUUGUCUCCUCAACCAAGGAGGAUGACUGCUUUCUUCUGGGAACAUAUUCCCUGUGCCAUGAAUUUGCAGCACAUUUUGAGAAGUCAGAACGAAUGUGGAGCUCAUACCAACGGGCUUCCCUUCUUACAGGGAUUAGAGCUUCGUAGGGCUCCUGUGUGGGUUUGCUCCCUGGCGCUACCUAUUUUGCUUUCCUGUUGUUUUCAGGGGGAAAAUCAGUUCCAAUUACAAGCUACUCUAUUGUGGCCCAAAGCAGGAAUCUGGUGGUAAUCACUCUUAAUCACCAAAGUCAUUUCCCACAGUGGCUUCUGGCAACAAGAACUUGGUUGUCAUGAGUUCACGUAGGAGGGCGCCCAGUUUAUUCACUUGUCUUUCACACACAGUUUUUGAGCUCCUACUCAGGCCAGCUGUUGUUCUAGACACAGGUAAUACAGCAGUAAAUAAGAUUUCUGCCACUUUGCAAGGUAGAGCCUUUUAUGUCAUAGAAAGACUGGCUACUAAAGGGUUUCUGUGCCAUGCUUGUACUAUUUAAAGGCUUUUUCUUAUGUGUGGGUGAAUGAGAGACAGACUGAGCUCAAGACCUUUAGGAUGACAACACCUUCCUAUUUUAUACAAAUAUUCUUAGCCUUUAAAAAAUUCUGCUGAGAUUAACCCAGUUCACAAUUCACACACAGUACAUCAAUACAAGGCCACCUUUUGAAAGCCAAGGUGUUAUGCUUAAUUCCCUAUCUGUGAGUUUCUACAUCAUACGGACAAGGCAAACACAUGAAAGACCUACUUUGGAACAGAAAUAUAGGACAAUUCAAGCUAAAACUCCAAGAAUUGCUUCAUGGAGAACAAACUUAGUUCUGAAAGCAAAUCUUUCAAUGAGCAUCAACAUGAGAUCUAAUCAGCCUACCUGUGGUUUCUCAUUUUAGCUUCAGUUUUUAAAAAACAUUUCACACGCUACAAAGCACUUACUUAUUAAGUGCUUCGAGAUACUGGGAAAAAAAUGGCUUGGUUUUCCCAGUCUUCCGAACAGCUUGAAUGUCACUGGUACCAAGAGAAAAAUAUAACCCAAGCACAUGUUACUGUUAAGAUACUGUGGUCAAAUCAAGAAUUUUACUCCUCUGUUCUUUGUUACUCUUUCCCACUUUAGAAACUUCACAUAUUCUGGGGAAUGAUAAUUUGUAGUUCCAAUUUUUAUCCAUUUUCAUGUGAUUAAAAGGCCGUCAAAGAACUAGAACAUCCUAUAUAGAAGUUCCAUAGAAGCUUGAGUACACUCAUGGGGCCAGACCACGAAUCUUGAGCACUGGUGGUUUGGUGUCCUUGGAAUUACAAUACUUUUGGAAUGGUUUAAGAACUACCAGUUAAAAUAGACAAAGCCAGACACAAAAGGCCACUUAUUGUAUAAGUUCAUGUGUAUGACAUGUCCAUAAUAGGCAUAUCCACAGAGACAGAAAGUAGAUUAGAGGUUUCCAGAGGAUGGUAGGAGGGAGAGAUGGGGAGUGACUGUUAAUGCAUAUAGGGGAUGCAAGUAGGUGAUGUUUUGGGUGAUGAAAACGUUCUGGAAUUAAAUAGGGUAAUGGUUGUAGAACAUUGUAAAAGUACUCAAAACCACCGAAUUGUACACUUAAAAUGUUAUGUUAUUAUAUGAAUGUUAUCCUAAUUUUUAAAAAAUCACACACACACACACACAAAUUACCGGCUGUAAAAGAUAGAGUUAUUUUGAUGGAGCCAGCUCUAACACCUUGCUAUUCUGAGAAUACCAUCCCCACUUGUCAUUUAUUUGGUAACGACUCUGAAGCAUAAUUAAUAUUAUGAAGAAAAUCUCCACUUAUAAACCGAAAUUAACUUUUGGGGGACAAAGUGAAUAUGUUUCUUGCAGAUAACACCAAAAUUGCAGCCUAACAGAGAGGGCACCUCCCCUGGAUCAUAUUUUUCCCGCCACUCAGUGAUGUUCGGGAAGAUAUCAAAGUGCUGCGUGUCUUAACAGUGGUCUGUCCAGUUUACCGUUACUUGUAUCUCUGCUCUAAACGUUAAUCUCUUGCUUUUGGCCUCUUUGUCUUCAUGGGGCCACCAGGCUCUUGCUUUGCAGACAUUUUUCUUUGGUGAGCACUUUUCUCAAAUCUUUCUUAUCUUAUCAAUAUUAACUUUCGCUCAGAAGUUGGUUCACGUGUGCAGUUCACUGAAAUAUUAUUUUAUUUAUUCAGGAAAUCAAUCGGAGCAUUUGUCUUUUUCUCAAAGGAUGGUGCCAUCAAAACCCCAGGAAGUCAUGCCACUCGUGACUUUUCCGUCUUACUAAGUAGUCAGAGGCUGUACCGUCUCCUUAACUCCACUGUAUAUGGUCAAAGUAUCUUUAUCCUCGGUAAUUUAUGUACACUCAUUAACCAUAAAAGUGUUAUCGAUAUGAGGGAGAGCUUAGAAAUUUUUUUAUUCACCGAUUGAGACAUCACAUGAAACUUUGCUUUUGUUUUGGGCAACAAAGAACUGCACUGAAGAAAAGUGAUUAGACUUUGAAAUUUUCAAAAUGCUUUUACAGCCAAUGUCAAUAAAGUUGUUUCAAACUGCAAAUUACUUCACCUAAAAUCUUUAUGUGGAGAAAAUAUGUUGUAACGCAUUAAAAUCAGUACUUUUUAUACAUGUUGAGCAGUAAAUGUUUUGAAGGUAUUUUUAAAUAGUAACUAGCUAUUGAAAAUUCUUUCUUAAAGGGGCACGCGGCUGGCUCUGUCAGUGGAGCGUGUGUGACUUUUGAUCUUGGGGUUGUGAGUUUGAGCCCCACGUUGGGUGCAGAGAUGACUUUAAAAUAAAAUCUUAAAAAAAUAAAAUAAAAGGCAUUUCAGAAUCACUCAGUAAAAUAAAUAUUUAUCCUCCCAGUCCGUUCUUGUUUUAAAACAUAUAUACCAUUACACUAAUGAUACAAUACUUACACUAACUCAUACAUUUUAGCUGUGCUUUGUUCUAAAUAUUUUAAGAAAGUUUUUUUUUUAAGAUUUUAUUUUUAAGAAAUCUCCACAUCUGGUGUGGGGCUGAAACUUUUUACAACCACGAGAUCAAGGGUCACACACUUCACCAACCAAACCAGCCAGAUGCCCUAAUUCCGAUCAGUCUUUUAGAUAUGGGAGUAAAGUCUACUGUCAAAGUAUUCUGACUUUUUAAUUUCAGCGUCUUUGCUUUUGAGCCUAGCGUUAGCUUUCUAAAGUCAGAAUUAUCAAACCCUACUUACCUAAAAAUUCAGAAAACUUGUUCUACUGAUGUAUCUAAUGAUACAUUCAGUGAAAACCUUGAGGCUUUAGGAAUUCUAAUUAGAGUUUAAACUGACUUCUUUGUGCCCUGUGUAUAUUAUGAAACUUAAGUCUUUGUGCCUAUUCUGCUUAAUGUAUAGUCUUCAUUAUGUAGGCUUUUUCUUUUAAUCGGUUUCUACACUGGUUUCGUGUUAAGUUUUUCAGAUGUUAGCAGGCAGAGGGUUUUGUUUUUGCAUAUUCAAAGAUUAUUAAAGUAUUAGUUGCAAUGUCAGAUUUUCAUAAUUGCAUCAUAAGUACUUAAAAUGAUCUGUCCUGCUGUGAUCCUGCCUUUACUGUAAUACUGUCUGGUAUGAAUGCUCAACCAACCAAAGGGGGUGACGUAGCUGUGUCGGUUUCUUUUAAAAUGAAAGCUACCGGGGAGCCUGGGGGGCUCAGUCGGUUGAGCAUCGGCUCUUGAUUUCAGCUCAGGUCAUGAUCUUGGGAUGAGAUGAGAUGGAGCCCCGUGUGGGACUCUGCUCAGGGCAGAGUCUGUUUGUCCCUCUCCCUCCCCCUCUGCCCCUCCUCCAUGCACUUUGUCUCUCUCUCACUCUAAAAUAAAUAAGUAAAAUCUUUAAAAAAAUAAUAAAAAGCUUUGGAUACAAGUAGUUCAAACUAGUAACACCAGAUUGGUCUCCAAAAGAAUUAAUACAGCUGUAACAGGUGACAACAUUCCAGAGUUCCAGGAUUAUUUUAAUGUAGAUUUAAGGAUGGUUAAAUUUUGAUUGAAUACGAAGACUUCAGAGUGCCAACUUUUGUGUAUUUAAAACAUCCAUCGAUAGUUGGUAUAAGGAAUACAUUUUAUUUACUUGGUUGACUUCAUCUAGACGUACAUGUGAUGCCUAUUUUUUUUUAUUAUCGACUUCAUUGUUGCUGCCUUAAUGAGAAAUUUUAGUUUGAUUUGUCAACUCUUUCUGCUAGGUUUUAGAUUUUUAAAUUUUUUUUGUUUGCUUGGUUUGGGGUUUUUUUAGGGUGGCGGGUAGUGGUACCCUAAGAAGUUUCUGCAGUAGAAAAUAUCAUGACACCAUAUAUGUUCCUUAUUUAGUCAUGGCAUUUAGGGGAGUUUUUCAAAGCUUAUGUUGGGAGAUAGGGAAGAUAAGCAAAGCGUCACGGCAAAUUCUUCAUUUUUCAGAGUAAAUUCAUCUUAUGGAUAUAAUGACAAGCACAUUUAGCACAUUUUGGUAACAUGGCUUCUUUUCAUUGUGAUUGCUUUGCAAGCUUAAUAAUGUUCCUCCCUGAUGAGAGCCUGAUUGGAACUGAUUUUUGUUUAAAGAUUAAAUAUGUUUAAUAUGGAGAAAAUAAAAAUUGCCCGUAUGACUCUCGCAUGGCAAACUAUAAAUUAGCAGCACGCAACUGCAGCCUUGGACACCAACCAUCCUAACAGCAGGCACGGCUGCGUUAAACUUGGUGCUUGAUGUGGAACGUGUUUUCAGAUCAGGGCUUUCCUCGGGUGGGUUUCCUGUGAUUGGACUAAUACAUAAAUAUUUGCUCCUUUGGAGGCAUUUAGACAUUGGAAAUUAAUGAUUUGCUUAUGAACCACAGACUUGAGGAACAGUUUUAGUUGACAUUUCCAUUCUUAACUUUUUUGCCGAUGGAUUGCUUAGGCAUGACGCUCUGUUUCUAUGUUCUAGGACUAUUACUGAAUAAAUACUAUUUAUUUCUUUAUAUCGACCAACAUAUUAUUACAUUAGCUCUCUUGUGGUCAGAAGAGCUCUGAGAUGCUGGAGGAUACUGUGUGGUGAAGUUAGAGGCCAGGUGACCUGUGCAGCGACCCUGUGAUGAGAACCGGGGUGCCGGGAGGCUAGACAGAGGACACCGAGCCCACCGUUAACGUCUGGCAUGGUACAUGCCUCAGCUUUGUCUCGCAGCGCUCUGUUUUUAACAAUUGUACUUAACCGCAUCUUAAGAAAAACAUUUUGGCCUCUCAAAGGAAAACAGGGUUACCGAAAAAAAGAAAAAGAUAAAAGCCCUCACAUGAUUCCUUCUGUCUUCGCUGAACCCUGGGCUGUCAUUGAAGAGUAAUAUGUACUCUGUGUGACACUUCCCAUGAUACCGCUGCUGAUUUUCGGGAAGGAAGUAGGGAGGCAGUUGGUCCUACAUGUCCAGGCUGGCCACACACGUGGCGAGUCACUGUGCCUCUCUCUGCCUCCAUUUCUUCAACCAUGAAAUGGGAAUACCUGUCCCUGUCCUUCCCUGCCUCACCAGCAUACUGAAGGGUCAGGUAAAGAAGAGGAAAAAUUCUAUAAGGUGCCUUGAUCCCAAAGAUGGGCAGAAUACAGAUGUCCCUGUGCUUUAGUAAUGAAGACUUUGUUUUAUAUAGCGACUUGAUUUUAAAAGCGUCUUUACCUGGUUCUGAAUAGUGAAUAAUAACUGAUAUUUUGAAAUAGAAACUGAGAAUAGGUAGGUUUAAAAUUAAGGAGCUGUUUCAUAUUUUCAACGAUCAAAUAGUAAAAAUUUACAAUGUAUAUUAUGGCUCUCAGUGUGGGUUUAAAGUAUAUCAUUGCGCUCAGCUCCUUUGUAGAAGGUCUUGUCAUUUGAGCCAACUUUGCCUGUUGCAGGGGCUGCAUGGGGAUCACAGCAAACCGUAGUCACAGCAGCGCUUUUAGCGUCUCUGGAAUCUCAGCGGUUAGGAGCCUUAGAGCUUGCCCAGCGCCAUUUCCCACCAGAGGCGAGGUUCCUUCUGGUACCAUCCCUGGCGGGAGCGUGUGGAGCUCUCACGGAGGGCUCUGGGGCAGGGAGCCAGCUGCUACCUCGCUUGUUUGCUGUGUACGUUUUGUUCAAGCAUUGCCUUAAACUUGGGAGUAGUCAUGUGUUACAUCAGAACAUGCAAGCUCUUUUAAGUUUUAAGGAAUACCAUCUUUUUAAAGGGUCUAGGUUUGUAAUAUUUUCUGGGUUUCUUUUUAUGGUUUCUUCCCUUGAUUGGUUGUUUUCUCCAUUUGAUAUAAUUUGAACAUACUUUCUUCCCUUUUUAUGUGUUCCUUCUUCCAUUUAGCAUUUAUGGUAGCAAGAAGGGAAGGGUUGAUUUUUUUUUUAAGUUUAUUUAAAUAAUCUCUCCAUCCAAUGUGAGGCUCAGCCUCACAACCCCAAGAUCUAAAGUCGCAUGCUCUACCAACCGAGGCAGCCAGGCGCCCCAAGAGUUGUUGAUUUUUAAAAGAGACUGAAAUCAUGACUUUUGUUUUUGUCUUAUGUGGCAACUGGAUUGAUUGCUAAUCUCUUAUUUAAAGGUCCUUCAAAACUAGAAGCCAUUCUUUUCAGGUAAAUGCCUGGUAAGUGGCAUGGGGUGCUCUGAGGAAGGGGAAGCCAUGGGACCCCAAAGUAGAGUAGGGCGUCCCAAUGCCCAAGGCUGUAUUUUCCUUCUAAGGAGCACAUUUCCCAGAGACGUGGCGUCCCAGUGGAACCAGCUGCUGGGUAGGAAGGAUGUGUAACAGAUUGCUGACUUUCCUUUAGCAGGUCAGGUGCGGGGCCAUCAUCCAGCCUUGACAUUCCACUCCAACUUUGCUCAUCUUUGGGAAAUGGGGGUACCUCCAUUUUGCUAACUCGUCCAAAUUUGCAUCAAUGAAGUAAAUCACUUGACUCGUAUCUUUUCUUUCGGUUUUUGUUUCUCCCUCUGUCUCUGCGGGUUCCUUCUGCUUUCUCCCACCUAAGGGAAGCUGUGCUUGAUCUUACCCAGUCCAGAUCACCACGUUAAGAUGAACUGGGCUUAGACUUGAACCCCUGUAACUGUGAUUUUCUGUGUGUAGCCGCCGAAUAACUUUGGACCGUUUUCAACAGCGGCCUGAUGUCCCGUCACACCAGGUGUGUAGCGUCCAAGGUGACCUGUGGGGCAGGAGAGUCGCCAACCAGAGUGGAUAUGUUUCUAGAAUAAAAGACCUCUCUUCAAUGCCCCCUUUUAUGCCUCUUUUGAGACAUGUGGGUGCAUCUUGUCUCUGGCCAAAACUUGUUUCCAGUUUCAAAGAGCUGGUUCUGAAGGUGUCUUUGUAACUUUUUUGUUUCUGGAUCUGUUAGUUGCUGGGGAAGCAGUUAGCUAAGCCCUCAUUGCCUGAAGAGGAGAGGAGCCUGUGUUACAUCCCGACCCCACGACCCCACAGGUUUCCUGCUUAGGACCAAGUACUCACCUGCCUUCCAGGAGGGGAACUACUCUAUUUGCAGAAACUUGUUUGUGUUUUGGGGUUUUUGUUAUUUUGUUUUUUGUCUUUUAUCUUUCCCAUGUUCUGUCUUGGCUUAAUGAGGUCCUAGACCUGCAUAGCUUGUCUCAUUCUCUCCCACUCUUACUCCCAGUUUUCCAAUAUGGGAAAUUCCCUUUUAUUCAAGCAAGAAGCAAAAAGUGCUCUUAAGUGAAGUCUCUAGAUAGGGUUUGCUUUGAAAGAAGAUGAUGGCUUAUGUUGGUUGUAAACAUCAGUUUGGCUGGCAAUUAGGACAGGUUUUUAGCCUCUUUGAAAAAGCCCUUCUGGGGCAAACCUUUGACAAAGUCACUCAACUGGCAUGUAAUUAGAAUUUUAUAUGCAUGGCUUUUUUUCUAAGUCUCUCUAGAAGAACGGAAGACUUCUUACAAUGCAAGCAAUAAAAUUAUUCUCACAUCGAGGAUCAACUUUAUUUUUUUUAUUUCCCUUUUAUGCCAUCUUUUAUUAUUUGUAUUAGCAUUACUCUAGCAUUAAUUCUCCCCAAAGGGAGUAGCAUUUUUCUUCCUCUUCUUCUUCUUUUUUUCUUUUUGCUUGAUGCCUCCUGCAUUUAGUAAGUAGUUUUUUGUUUUGUUUUUUGUGGGGUUUUUUGGCUGCUUUCUUGAAUCCCAUAUUUAUAAUACUUUAUGGUUAAUUUUUAAAAACUGAUUAAUUCUAGCUGGGCUAGAAGCGUCAAGUAUUAUUUUAUAGUGAACUUUCCCUUUUCUGGGAUUUAUGUAGAGGAAGAGCUAAAGGUUACAAAUGGGUUGUUUUUUCUGUAAAUAUGUAUAGUUAUUUUAAUGUCUUUUGAAUGCUUUCUUAUAGUGAUAAUUGGUACUGCCAUUGAUCAAAGGUAAACAAUACGGAGUUAAGAAUUUUUAUACUAUGAACUAUUCAUUGAGAAUGUUCAGAAUUCCAUAGCUACUUAUCUUUAACACUUAUGAGAGGCAUGUAGUUUUUUCCUUUCAUGGUCUUAAAGUUAGUUUUCCCUUUGUUCAGGCAGGUCUGAGUCAUGAGUUGUAUUGACUGGAAAACAUACACGUAUCCAAAAGCGGAUGUAUUGUAGAAAUAUGAUGUUUUCUUGCUUUGGGGGUUUGGCCAGAAAGUUUUGUGUAUGGGUGUUAUUUUUAACAAAGCAGUAAGGGCUUACUUUUUACCAACCUGUGUGCGUGCCAAGAUGUGUUUGUUCAAGCUUUAAAAAAAGAAUAAACCUGUCAAUGUACAAACA